UCUGGAAGGCCGUGCUCGGUGUCCGCCGAAUACCUUGUACCCCUACUUCUUCGUGCGCCUUUGCCUCGUCGGCCCUCUCCGUUGAGCGGUCAUUGGCAGCAAUCGGGAGAGACGGAAGCAGCUUUAUGAGGAACAAAAGGCGGCACGCUAGGCCGGAGCCCAACGGCGGACCCGGAGUGGAAUCAAUGGAAAGGGAUACUCGAGUGAGGAGACGGCAAGUGACGGUGAGAAGGAGGAGGCGAUGGGAGCGACGAUGGAUCCCCCGGUGGCGCUAGGGCCGGAUAUAAUGAUGAAAAUACUCGAGUCCUCUGACGCUUGCAGCGUGGCACGGCGCACUCUGGUUUCUCUCAGAUGGCACGAGAUCGCCGCCAGCGACUUUCUCUGGGCCCAAAAGACUGCUCCAGAAUAUUGGCAGAACCUUGAUCCUUCAUCGAUGGGUACUGGCCCUCCAAUCCACAGCUACUUCCAGCCAAAUGGUUCUCAGGAAGCAGAUCCUGAUGAUAAAGUAUGGGGAGGUCAUGAAUGCACAUAAUCAUCACCAGCUAUAUAGGCGAGGCACGAAUCUGGGAUCACUAUGUGAGGAUUAACAGGUGGCCUCCAAUGACCAUGUCGAGGAAAGAGGAUUGGAGUUGGACCUCUAUUGCUACAGCAAUGUUCCUGAUGCUGAGAAAGAGGGUGGUAUCGGUCUAGUAAAUUAAGAACCACUACUGAAGCUAUUGAUACCGUCAAACCAGCAAUUUUCUAAAGAGGUUCUCUGGUAUUUUAAUGCUUCCGAUCAAUCUUUCGGAUGGCGGCCUUUGCAUUGGUGUUACAUAUAUAUGUUGUGUUGAAUCAUCUUAUUGUCUCGAAAGGCUUAUCUCCACUAUCUGGCUCGAAAACUCUUUAUCUUCAUGAAUAUGGCCAAUGGCAAGCAGACUUUCUGCAAUGCUCUAAUGUCUUGUGCCGUUUCAAAGUAGGUGAAUUUUGUUGAGUUAUUAUCUGUCAGUGCUGAGGUUCAUGUUCAAUAUAUUUGCUACAAUGGAACAACUUUUUUUGCAAUAAAAUAUUAUAUCGUCUUUA